AGUUUCCGCAGUCGAUGAUGGCGUUGUAGGAGGCGUUUACCGAGCCGAAGUAGUACUGGGUCUGUUUCAUGACGCAGCUGCUCUCGCGCGUCUCGGGGCUCCCCUCGGCCUCCGCGGGGUCUGCGAGGGCCCAGAGCGCCUCAGCUCCGCCCACAGACCCUGGCAAGGUCUCCGGCCUCCCUCAGUCGUAGACCCCACCCUCCCCAUGGAGUCGUCUUAGCUCAGAUUGGGGACCCGGACUUGAGGAGGCGCCUCCAAAGCCCUACCUACCUGCUUGGAACCAGCUGUGGUAGAUGAGGCCGUAGAGAAGCUGCUGGAACAGGGACCUGCAGCGCACGGGGAGCCGAGUGCAGCACCAGGAAUCCUCCAUCAUCAAUGAGGACACAGAGCUGGGUGAUGCCUACGUGUUGAGAUCCUGGUCCCUCCACACACGCUCUACCAGCUGCUGCGUGAUGCCCGUGUCCAAGAUCAGGUUGUGCAGAAGGAAGUUGUUGCCUGGAACAGGAGGGGAGGGGUGGGGGUGGGGGCAUCUUCUUGCAGCUCCUUGCCCACCCUCACCCCCACCCUUAAGGCUCCACCAGGAGCCUCCUCCAUGACCUGGCCCUGGCCCAGGCCCAGCCCUUAGCUUGUGCCUGCUUAUUUCCACACCUGCCCGGCCUCUGGGUUCCUCUGGGCUGGCCCCAUGCUGCCUGGGCACUGCCCAGAGCCAGCUGCCCUGCCAGGCACUCACACUGCUUGGAGUCUGGAGUCACUUUCUCCAUGAGCUCAAUAAAGUUUUUCAGGAACUCGG
rnacentral:lncRNA from 1 species